AAGAAAUCAGUUCAGCACUAAGUCACUUUGUCUUUAUGGCAAAUGUGAGAUGCAGUGUAUGGAAUGUUCAAUUUCUAGUAUGAAAAAUUAACGAUUUAAGUCCUUCUUAAAUGAGGCCAUUUACCCAUAGAGGGUGCCAGGCCCGUAUAACGUUAAUGAUUACUAGAGAACAUUUCCAAAGAGUCGUGUUGCUUGAUAGUGCAGCACUAAGUGGGUGGUAAACUCCAUCUAAAACUAAAUAUAACCAUGAGACCGAUAGUAAACAAGUACCGUGAGGGAAAGUUGAAAAGAACUCUGAAUAGAGAGUUAAAUAGUACGUGAAACUGCUUAGAGGUUAAGCCCGAUGAACCUGAAUAUCCAUAUGGAAAAUUCAACAUUAUGACUGCGGUAUGAAUAAUACUGUGGGAAUGGUGUGCAUUUUUUCCAUAAAAGGACAUUGUAAUCUAUUAAUAUUAUGAUUUAUCAUAAGAUCAUUGGCUUAAGUUUAUUCAAAUUAUUAUGCUUGCAUUUUAACAUAGAAUAAGUGCUGGUGAUUUGAUAAAGUGUUGAUAGAUUUAUUAUAUAUAGCGCUUGAAUAUUUUAUAUUCUAUAAUGGCAUGGUAAUCAUGAUUAUUGUGUUUAUUAUAUGCGUUUAUAUGAUUAACAAUGCGAAAGAUUCAGGAUACCUUCGGGACCCGUCUUGAAACACGGACCAAGGAGUCUAACAUAUUUGCAAGUUAUUGGGAAUUAAAAAACCUAAUAGCGUAAUUAACAUAACUAUUAUGGGAUUAGUUUUUAGUCUAGAAAUAGUCUAUUAAUUCAAUCCCGGGGCGUUCUAUCAGUUAUGCAUAAUAAUAUUUAUAUUAUUUAUGCCUCUAACCAGAGCGUACCUUGAGCAUAUAUGCUGUGACCCGAAAGAUGGUGAACUAUACUUGAUCAGGUUGAAGUCAGGGGAAACCCUGAUGGAAGACCGAAACAGUUCUGACGUGCAAAUCGAUUGUCAGAAUUGAGUAUAGGGGCGAAAGACCAAUCGAACCAUCUAGUAGCUGGUUCCCUCCGAAGUUUCCCUCAGGAUAGCUGGUGCAUUUAAAAAUUAUGUAAAAUAAUCUUAUCUGGUAAAGCGAAUGAUUAGAGGCCUUAGGGUCGAAACGACCUUAACCUAUUCUCAAACUUUAAAUGGGUAAGAACCUCACCUUUCUUGGUAUGAAGGUUGUGGUUGUGAUAUAAUGUGCCCAGUGGGCCACUUUUGGUAAGCAGAACUGGCGCUGUGGGAUGAACCAAACGUAAUGUUACGGUGCCCAAAUUAACAACUCAUGCAGAAACCAUGAAAGGCGUUGGUUGCUUAAAACAGCAGGACGGUGGACAUGGAAGUCGUAAUCCGCUAAGGAGUGUGUAACAACUCACCUGCCGAAGCAACUAGCCCUUAAAAUGGAUGGCGCUUAAGUUGUAUACCUAUACAUUACCGCUAAAGUAAAUGGUUUAUGUUCAAUUUCGGUUGGAUUAUAAACUUUGAAACUUUAGUGAGUAGGAGGUACAAUGGUGUGCAUGGAAGUGUUUGGCGUAAGCCUGCAUGGAGCCGCCAUUGGCACAGAUCUUGGUGGUAGUAGCAAAUAAUCGAAUGAGACCUUGGAGGACUGAAGUGGAGAAGGGUUUCGUGUGAACAGUGGUUGAUCACGAGUUAGUCGGUCCUAAGUUCAAGGCGAAAGCUGAAAAUUUUCAAGUUAUAAUAACACACACGCAUAUUUUCACAAUAUGAGAGAGUAAUUAAACACUUGAAUAAUUUUGAACGAAAGGGAAUACGGUUCCAAUUCCGUAACCUGUUGAGUAUCCGUUUGUUAUUAAAUAUGGGCCUUGCGCUCAUCCUGGCAACAGGAACGACCAUAAAGAAGCCGUCGAGAGAUAUCGGAAGAGUUUUCUUUUCUGUUUUAUAGUCGUACUACCAUGGAAGUCUUUCGAAGAGAGAUAUGGUAGAUGGACUAGAAGAGCAUGACAUUUACUGUUGUGUCGAUAUUUUCUCCUCGGACCUUGAAAAUUUAUGGUGGGGUCACGCAAACUUCUCAACAGGCCGUACCAAUAUCCGCAGCUGGUCUCCAAGGUGAAGAGUCUCUAGUC
rnacentral:rRNA from 1 species